UAGGGCNNCUUCCGCAUGGGCGAAAGCCUGACGGAGCAACGCCGCGUGAGUGAUGAAGGUCUUCGGAUCGUAAAACUCUGUUAUCAGGGAAGAACAAAUGUGUAAGUAACUGUGCACAUCUUGACGGUACCUGAUCAGAAAGCCACGGCUAACUACGUGCCAGCAGCCGCGGUAAUACGUAGGUGGCAAGCGUUAUCCGGAAUUAUUGGGCGUAAAGCGCGCGUAGGCGGUUUUUUAAGUCUGAUGUGAAAGCCCACGGCUCAACCGUGGAGGGUCAUUGGAAACUGGAAAACUUGAGUGCAGAAGAGGAAAGUGGAAUUCCAUGUGUAGCGGUGAAAUGCGCAGAGAUAUGGAGGAACACCAGUGGCGAAGGCGACUUUCUGGUCUGUAACUGACGCUGAUGUGCGAAAGCGUGGGGAUCAAACAGGAUUAGAUACCCUGGUAGUCCACGCCGUAAACGAUGAGUGCUAAGUGUUAGGGGGUUUCCGCCCCUUAGUGCUGCAGCUAACGCAUUAAGCACUCCGCCUGGGGAGUACGACCGCAAGGUUG
rnacentral:rRNA from 1 species